UGAACGCUGGCGGCAGGCCUAACACAUGCAAGUCGAGCGAGAAAGCACUUCGGUGUGAGUACAGCGGCGGACGGGUGAGUAACGCGUAGGAAUCUACCUGGUAGUGGGGGACAACUUGGGGAAACCCAAGCUAAUACCGCAUACGCCCCAUGGGGGAAAGCGGGGGACCUUCGGGCCUCGCGCUAUCAGAUGAGCCUGCGUAGGAUUAGCUUGUUGGUGAGGUAAAGGCUCACCAAGGCGACGAUCCUUAGCUGGUCUGAGAGGAUGAUCAGCCACACUGGGACUGAGACACGGCCCAGACUCCUACGGGAGGCAGCAGUGGGGAAUAUUGCGCAAUGGGGGCAACCCUGACGCAGCCAUGCCGCGUGUGUGAAGAAGGCCUUCGGGUUGUAAAGCACUUUCAAUUGGGAAGAAAGGUUGUUGCUUAAUACGUAACAGCUGUGACGUUACCUUUAGAAGAAGCACCGGCUAACUCC
rnacentral:rRNA from 1 species